UGGUCAAGUUAGUACGGGUGCAGGGCGGAGGCCUUGGCACUAGGAGCCGAUGAAGGACGUGAUAAGCUGCGAUAAGCUUCGGGGAGUUGCACGUAAACUUUGAUCCGAAGAUUUCCGAAUGAGGAAACUCACAUAGAGUAAUGUCUAAGUAUCAUUAAGUGAAUACAUAGCUUAAUGAGGGGAACUCAGGGAACUGAAACAUCUAAGUACCUGAAGGAAGAGAAAGAAAUUCGAUUCCGUAAGUAGCGGCGAGCGAAC
rnacentral:rRNA from 1 species